GUACCUGUUGUGUGGUUUAUCAUUACUAAAAACUACUUUCUGGAAUAGGGUAGGUUGCUUAUGUUUGGUAUUUUGAUGAGCAGGUAUAUUGGUCAUGGUCUUUCUAGACUAGUUCUAAUUUUUACUACUUCUUUGAGAGGUGUCCUCAUCCUUGUCUCCACCGUAUCUGGUAAUUUCGGUUACUGUUCUCUGCAUCUUCGCUGUAACAUGUCUGCUCCUGAAAAAUCAGAGCCGAGAGAGAGAAGCUAAGUUAUAUUUAGAGCAGAAGAGGAAAUAUGUGAGGGAGACUAAGGGGAAUUCCUUUAGAAGAGUGUAAUCACUGAAAACUCUCUCGCCCAUAAUCUCUCUCAUACACCCAUGAACAUACAUCCCCCUUCUUACUCACACACACAAACACCCCCACACACACACGCACACACACACGUGGUGAUCUUGUGAAGUCUAUGCAGCAUUGCAUUGCCUGACCCAGUGCCUGGUGGAGCAGAACUUCCCAGCCAUUGCCCUCCACUGAGGAAUGCCCCAGAAGGAGAGGCUUUCUCGGUAUCAGCAGUUUAAAGAUUUUCAAUGAUGAAUUCUUGUGGCUACCAACCUAUUCAGCUGAGGCAUGGACAUGGAGCAGGUGAACAUUGCCUUUAACUGUGACAGCCUGAGGAUUCUGACACCCACCUGCAUCGGGUGGCCAGAGCAGGCCAGUUUGGCCCCUAAGGCUCGGCCAUCACAUUUGUGUCACAUGAGAAUGAUGCCAAGAUCCUCAAUGAUGUGCAGGAUCGCUUUGAGGUCAAUACUAGUGAGCUGCCUGAGGAGAUAGACAUCUCCUACAUUGAACAGACGUGGUAGAGGACUUCCCCACCCAUUCUGGAAUGUGACAGCUGUCCCUCUUCAGGAGAUAACACCAUGAGUCGGACCAAAGGAGACACUCUGGCCACGUAGCCCUGACAACCCCCAACCCCCAUCUCUUGGCUUCCCUCUUUUGCGUCACCACCACUCCUAAACCUCCGUUUCCUGAUUUGUCAGAACGUCUUUUCAACAAAACUAAAAAACA